ensembl:lncRNA
UGCUAUUUGAAGCAUUCUUUUUGAACAGAUGCAAAAAAAAUAUGGAUGUGAGCUGAAGUCCUUGAAACGUUUGCUUAGCGGCUUUGCAGGCCGCUCCUAUUUGCAUGAGGAAGCCCAACCUGGCUCACAGUGCUGCUGAACCACGGCCAAAGCUGAGGAACCUCCGCAGCAGAGCACAGAGCCAGUCAGGCUGUGCCCUGGGAAGGGUUUGGGCAGCAUCUGCACCUUGAUGGGGCUGGAGGGAAGCAGGAGGCUGGGCAGGAUGUGGCAGUGGAGCUGGAAUUGGAACCUGGGCAGGCUCCCUGCAGGCAAGGCACCACAGCUGCCAUGAGGAUGUGCAUCUGACCCGUCUGAAAACCUGCAAGUAUCUGCCAGGGUACCAGUUCUUUUGACGGUGUGAGUAUUUCUAGUUCAUCUUUUCACAAAGGGGGC